UAUUUAGAAUUAUGAUUACCGGGUGGUUGAUUUGAGUUAGUUAUUUGGUGCUCCUAUAAAAGGGCUUCUUUUUGCAUGCUGCAGCGUCUGCCUUGGGUUCCCCCCUCCCCCUUCCGCUUCACCGCGUGGCUCAGAGGUAUGUUUGGCUUUGUGUGUGAGGGAGAAACGCACGUGUAAGUCGGCGUUUAGUUAAUUUAUUUGUUUUAUUUAGAGCGUUUUGUUGCUGUCUCAUCCUCUGAAACUGCACUCGAGUCUGGCUUAUCCCAGUUCUCAGUUUAACUCCUCAGUGGGAAUUGUUGGCGUCUGACCAAUUGUAACGCUGCCUGACGGCAUUUUCAUCAGCUCUCGGGUCCAGCCGAUCUGGUGUGAUUACUGGCUGUUGCAUGAAGAUAGCAUCCUGUAACGGUGAAAUAAGCUGCCGUUUUGCCUCCAGAGAAGUUUAAUGAAGCUCUAAGACACUUUUAUUCUCUUAAGUGGGUUGAUAACUGUGGUGGGAACCUAUAUCAUUCUGUGCUGAAUUAUCGGACUGCAGCUUGUGCUCAUGCACACUGUUUUAUAGCUGAAAAGCUCUACUCUUACUUACUUACUAUUUGUUUAUAAAACUCCGUCUACUAUCAGUGCAACUAUAUUACACCUGUGGUGUAUGCAUUGUUAUUUUUGUGCACUGAUGCUUCAUUUGUCAAUUGUUUGCUGUGUGCAAUAGUUAAUCCAAUCUAAACUGUAUUUUGAGCCAUUGUAUUGUGGUCCUUUUUAUAUUUCUGAUUUUAUUUGGUAGUUGUGGAGUAGGUGCAUGAGGGAUCCAGGAGGGGAGAUUUAAGUAUUAUUUUCACUUUGCUUUACUGGUUGGGAUUUGAUUUAUUUUCUGGCACGGGUGACUUUUGUUGUGAUUUUGAUAUUUUUUUUAUUAAAUUUUGGCCCCCACCUGGUGAGCUUCAGCCCUACAACAAUUAAAAUGAGCUUCUUUGUAAUUUCUUAACUCAAAUGACCUGUUGUUGAUUUUAAUGUGUUUUUGAGCAUUGAGUGGUUCUGGUGAUAUUAAUAUUAAAAUUUUCUCUGUUUUGCA